GAUGAAGAACGCAGUGAAAUGCGAUACGUAAUGUGAAUUGCAGAAUUCAGUGAAUCAUCGAGUCUUUGAACGCACAUUGCGCCCCCUGGUAUUCCGGGGGGCAUGCCUGUCCAAGCGUCAUUGCUGCCCUCAAGCACGGCUUGUGUGUUGGGCCUCCGUCCUCCUCCCGGGGGACGGGCCCGAAAGGCAGCGGCGGCACCGCGUCCGGUCCUCGAGCGUAUGGGGCUUCGUCACCCGCUCUUGUAGGCCCGGCCGGCGCUUGCCGACACAUCAAUCUUUUUUCCAGGUUGACCUCGGAUCAGGUAGGGAUACCCGCUGAACUUAAGCAUAUCAAUAAGCGGAGGA
rnacentral:misc_RNA from 1 species